GCCAGCAGUUAUAUCACCCUGCAACUCACACCUGGCAGCCCACUGAAGCAAAGCAGGUGUGAGCCUGGUCAGUACCAGGGAUGGGAGACCUCCUGGGAAAAACUAAGGAUGCUCCUGGAA
rnacentral:rRNA from 1 species